AUUUUCCCAAAUUGGCAUAAAGAAUUAUUAUUUUACAUAACACUCAAGAUUAGAAGAAUGUUUUAAAAUUAUCAGUAUCACAUUGUUUUCUUAAAAAUCAAGAAUUUUUAAUUUCACAGGUUCAAUUUCUCUACUCAAUUCUCAAAUUUCAACGAGAAAAUGUUGGAAUAAGUAAUGGAAAACUGAAAAGUUAUAAUCUGCAACCCUUCCAGUAAAUCACCGUUCCAUCUCUGUAACAAAGCAAGUAGUUAUCUUCACUUAGCUGAUCAAGAAAGCUUUCCGCAAAAAACUCCAACUACUUACCAUUUCCAGUUUUAAGCAGAUCACCAUCUAUUAGUAUAUUUCUAUGCAUCUCAGUCCUAUUUGUUUGGUGUGGGUUGCAUUUCUUUUAAAAUUAGUCACUGACUUACCAAAAACUUGUUAUCAGCAAAGAUUAAGUACCAUAACUUUAGGAUGAAAAAUCAAAUAUAACCAUCAGGGUUAGAUUAGAUGUAGUACAUUAAGGAACACAUGAAAAUAAUUUAAGAAUCUGGGGACACUAAAAUAAUGUUAAGUUGAGGGUUUGUCUCCUAAUUCACCAAUAUGCUGGUUAACGUUACAGCCAGUUUCUUGUUUCACAUCCCUGACAUUAGCAUUGCAGGAAAAAGUAAGGUUGUGAGAUUGGUUUGCUAGGGAUCACAAACCAAGUCUUAUGAUUUCAAAUCACUUGCCUCCACUGCUCUAUUAAACCACCCAAUUAGCCACAUUUAGAAAAGUAUGUUCAUAAGAACUCAUCAGGGUAUCUGCCAUUACUUGACUCUAGUGAACUAUCUUUGGUACACUUCUUGAAGUAUCGCUUUAUAAACUGUAAUUGCUAUGCAAUAAUCUGGAUGCACACUGGAAGCUCUUGUAAUAGGGAUUUGUAUGGUGCCAUCCCACUACAAAAUGUACUCAAUCUUAUGCAGUGUUUGUCGACCACAACCUACGUUCCUAAACUGUUACCAUGACCUAGGGCCCCUUACAAAGCAAAGGGUGAGUCAGAUAAAAAGAACUGUUUGGUCCGUAAAAGACUUCUUUGGCCUACCCAAUUUUGGAACUUCGUCUCAUGAGAUACUUUCCCAGAGUGUACAACCAGAAGUGAAACAUUACCUACACUUCUUCACUUCGCACAGAAUCCUUGACGUGAGUGAAUAAGGUACACUAAAAACCCUAGAGAGUGACGCCAGAGAACACCUGCGGCCCCACCAUUCCCCGACCUCCAGUUUGUCCCACAGGAUUCAAGGAAGCCUCCGGCGAUUAAGUACCGCCAAUCGCCUCAGAAACUUAACCAGUGGUCCGAAACGUCUGCACCCCGCGACACCAGAAGACAGGCAGGUAGGAAGUCUUAAAGACGCAGAAGGGAUGCGGGCAGCGUCCGUCCAAAGGACCCGCCAGAGCCCAGUCCCAAAGCAACCACUGGCUCGCUUGGGCGGCAGCGUCGUGCGGGGCAAGCCCGGCUCCUGCAUUCCUCUCAGGGACCACGUCUACACCGCGCCCCGGCCCGCGCCCCUCCGCUCCCAGCCCAGCGCGCCGCCUCGGGCUGCGGCCCACGCGGCGCUCGCCCGAACAUGCGGACGGCGAGGAGUGGACGCACCCGCGUGAGGCAACAAGGAAAUGGGAUGCGCCGUCGCCACUCAAAGCAGAUGCUUUUGUACUUCUUCUCUUCAGCCACCGAGAGUU